rnacentral:tRNA from 1 species
UAGCUCAGUUGGUAGAGCACAACCUUGCCAAGGUUGGGGUCGCGGGUUCGAAUCCCGU